UGCCAGACUCCUACGGGAGGCAGCAGUGGGGAAUAUUGGGCAAUGGGCGCAAGCCUGACCCAGCAACGCCGCGUGAAGGAAGAAGGCUUUCGGGUUGUAAACUUCUUUUGUCAGGGACGAAGCAAGUGACGGUACCUGACGAAUAAGCCACGGCUAACUACGUGCCAGCAGCCGCGGUAAUACGUAGGUGGCAAGCGUUAUCCGGAUUUACUGGGUGUAAAGGGCGUGUAGGCGGGAGAGCAAGUCAGACGUGAAAUUCCAGGGCUCAACCCUGGAACUGCGUUUGAAACUGUUCUUCUUGAGUGAUGGAGAGGCAGGCGGAAUUCCGUGUGUAGCGGUGAAAUGCGUAGAUAUUAGGAGGAACACCAGUGGCGAAGGCGGUCUGCUGGACAGCAACUGGCGCUGAGGCGCGAAAGCGUGGGGAGCAAACAGGAUUAGAUACCCUAGUAC
rnacentral:rRNA from 1 species